rnacentral:tRNA from 1 species
GGACCCGUAGCUCAAUUGGCAGAGCGCUGCGUUUACAUCGCAGAUGUUAGGGGUUCGAGUCCUCUCGGGUCCA